rnacentral:rRNA from 1 species
GAGUUGUAAUUUGCAGAGGGCGCUUUGGCGUUGGCAGCGGUCCAAGUUCUUUGGAACAGGACGUCACAGAGGGUGAGAAUCCCGUACGUGGUCGCUAGCCUUCGCCGUGUAAAGCCCCUUCGACGAGUCGAGUUGUUUGGGAAUGCAGCUCUAAAUGGGAGGUAAAUUUCUUCUAAAGCUAAAUACUGGCCAGAGACCGAUAGCGCACAAGUAGAGUGAUCGAAAGAUGAAAAGCACUUUGGAAAGAGAGUCAAAUAGCACGUGAAAUUGUUGAAAGGGAAGCGCUUGCAGCCAGACUUGCCUGUAGUUGCUUAUCCGGACUUUUGUCCGGUGCACUCUUCUGCGGGCAGGCCAGCAUCAGUCUAGGCGGUUGGAUAAAGGUCUCUGUCAUGUACCUCUCUUCGGGGAGGCCUUAUAGGGGAGACGACAUGCAACCAGCCUGGACUGAGGUCCGCGCAUCUGCUAGGAUGCUGGCGUAAUGGCUGUAAGCGGCCCGUCUUGAAACACGGACCAAGGAGUCUAACAUCUAUGCGAGUGUUUGGGUGUCAAGCCCAGACGCGUAAUGAAAGUGAACGGAGGUGGGAACCCUUUGGGUGCACCAUCGACCGAUCCUGAUGUCUUCGGAUGGAUUUGAGUAAGAGCAUGGCUGUUGGGACCCGAAAGAUGGUGAACUAUGCUUGAAUAGGGUGAAGCCAGAGGAAACUCUGGUGGAGGCUCGCAGCGGUUCUGACGUGCAAAUCGAUCGUCAAAUUUGGGCAUA